rnacentral:tRNA from 1 species
GGGUCCGUGGCGCAAUUGGUAGCGCACCUGUUUUGCAUACAGGGGGUUGAGGGUUCGAGUCCCUCCGGUUCCA